UACAGAGGGGGCAAGCGUUAUUCGGAAUUAUUGGGCGUAAAGGGCGCGUAGGCGGCUUUGCAAGUGACGGGUGAAAUCCCUCGGCUUAACCGAGGAACUGCCUGUCAAACUGCAUGGCUUGAGACCAGGAGAGGUGAGUGGAAUUCCCAGUGUAGCGGUGAAAUGCGUAGAUAUUGGGAGGAACACCAGUGGCGAAGGCGGCUCACUGGACUGGUACUGACGCUGAUGCGCGAAA
rnacentral:rRNA from 1 species